UCGACCGGCGCACGGGUGGAGUAACGCGUAUCCCAACCUGCCCAUCACUUGGGGAUAACCUUGCGAAAGUAAGACUAAUACCCAAUGACGUCUCUAGAAGACAUCUGAAAGAGAUUAAAGAUUUAUCGGUGAUGGAUGGGGAUGCGUCUGAUUAGCUUGUUGGCGGGGUAACGGCCCACCAAGGCAACGAUCAGUAGGGGUUCUGAGAGGAAGGUCCCCCACAUUGGAACUGAGACACGGUCCAAACUCCUACGGGAGGCAGCAGUGAGGAAUAUUGGUCAAUGGGCGAGAGCCUGAACCAGCCAAGUAGCAUGCAGGAUGACGGCCCUAUGGGUUGUAAACUGCUUUUAUAAGGGAAUAAAGUGAGUCUCGUGAGACUUUUUGCAUGUACCUUAUGAAUAAGGACCGGCUAAUUCCGUGCCAGCAGCCGCGGUAAUACGGAAGGUCCGGGCGUUAUCCGGAUUUAAUGGGUUUAAAGGGAGCGUAGGCCGGAGAUUAAGCGUGUUGUGAAAUGUAGACGCUCAACGUCUGCACUGCAGCGCGAACUGGUUUCCUUGAGUACGCACAAAGUGGGCGGAAUUCGUGGUGUAGCGGUGAAAUGCUUAGAUAUCACGAAGAACUCCGAUUGCGAAGGCAGCUCACUGGAGCGCAACUGACGCUGAAGCUCGAAAGUGGCGGGUAUCGAACAGGAUUAGAUACCCUGGUAGUCCCGCACGGUAAACGAUGGGAUGCCCGCUG
rnacentral:rRNA from 1 species